UACGUAGGGAGCUAGCGUUACUCGGAAUCACUGGGCGUAAAGGGCGUGUAGGCGGAUGAGCAUGUCCGGUGUGAAAUCCCUCGGCUCAACUGGGGAAGUGCACCGGAAACUGUUCGUCUGGAGUGCGGGAGGGGAGAGUGGAACUCUUGGUGGAGCGGUGAAAUGCGUAGAUAUCAAGAGGAACGCCGGUGGCGAAAGCGGCUCUCUGGCCCGUUACUGACGCUGAGGCGCGAAAGCUAGGGGAGCAAACGGG
rnacentral:rRNA from 1 species